ensembl:processed_transcript
GGGGAUCUUUUAAGUCAGAAUAUAACGUGUUCUCCACUCAGGUCAGAAGAACUCCAUUCAAAGCCUACAGUGCCAACCUAUGACAAGAUUGCAGGAUGGCCUGUUAGGAAGCCCACAGUGACUUUCCCAGUCACUAUAAGCUACCCACAGAUGAAAGAAUUUCACAAUGUUACAAUGAAUUUGGUUGCCAACACUCUAAGGAGAUUUCAGGAGGCAGUGGUAGUCUGCUAAACACACUGUAUGUGAACAAGUACUAUAUAACUGAGUGUUUACAAAGUAACUUAAGCUGUAGAUAGAGCAAUAUCAGAUCCAGGUACUAGAGAGCUUCCCAUUAAAUCUUUCAUUUUGAGAAUGCUAAUGCGGUGGUCUGAGUGCCCGAUACUUUUAGCAGAGGCGGACAUUUCCUAGAGGGCUGGAGACAAGCAGUACCUAGUGAGAGGACCUAACUCCGAUGGCAGCCCCUCAUUAGAUAGAUCUGGCAGCCAUGUUAGACCUUAAAUUUCCCAGGACAGCCCAGCUUCCUUUUGUAGACACCGCAGAAAGAGGGCAGCCAAUCAGCAACUGCCCUGAUAUCUGGCCAGGGGCUUAUAACAGUUAUGAAAGAGUCCUAUAAGGUAGCAAUCUCUCCCUUGAGGUAUAAACCAAUCAGAAAUUUAGGAAUAUCCUAUACCAUAAAGCUCAACCAAUCCUGGUGAAGGUGACCCAAAUACAAGUGGAAAACUCCAACUGGUUCUAAAAGGGGCCUACUAGCUUCCCUCAUGGUCCCUGAUUUUGCUUGGAUGAUUGACCCCUACGUGCCAGCUGUUUUUGAAGAAUAAACGCUCUGUGCCUUUGCAU